UACGUAGGUAGCAAGCGUUGUCCGGAUUUAUUGGGUUUAAAGGGUGCGUAGGCGGCUUUUUAAGUCAGUGGUGAAAGCCGAUCGCUUAACGAUCGAACUGCCAUUGAUACUAAAAAGCUUGAGUAUAGUUGAGGUAGGCGGAACUGACAGUGUAGCGGUGAAAUGCAUAGAUAUUGUCAAGAACACCAAUUGCGAAGGCAGCUUACUAAAGUAUAACUGACGCUGAGGCACGAAAGUGCGGGGAUCAAACAGG
rnacentral:rRNA from 1 species